AUUGGGGGCAAUUUGACUUGACUCGAAUUCGGUUUGCACUCCCCUCCAAACUCCGCAUGCUCCCGCUCCGUGGCUCCGCCUCCCUCGCCGCCCGCCGCCUCCUCCGCGACAACCAGCGCAUCAGCGCCCUCGCCCGCGCGGGCGAUGUCGCCGCGGCGCGCCGGGUGUUCGACGCCAUGCCGCACCGUGACGUCGUCUCCUGGAACGCGCUCCUCACCGCGCUCUGGCGCGCCGGCCGCCACCACCUCCCAGCCGCUCGCCGCCUCUUUGACGAGGCCAUGCCCUCCCGCGACGUCGUCUCCUGGAACUCAAUCAUCGCCGGAUGCCUCGCGCACGGGGACUUGGACGCUGCCUCCGCCUACUUCGCCGGCGCCCCGAAGCGCAACGUGGCCACGUGGAACGCCAUGCUCGCGGGGCUCCUCAGGCUCGGCCGAGCGGAUGACGCCGACAGGCUGUUCGGAGAAAUGCCAAAGAGGAACGUGGUGUCGUACACAACCAUGGUGGACGGGCUCGCACGGCGCGGUGAGGUGGCGAGGGCGCGGGAGGUGUUUGACGCAAUGCCAGAUAGGAAUUUGGUGUCUUGGGCCGCCAUGAUCAGUGGGUACGUUGAGAACGGCAUGUUUGUCGAGGCAACGAAAUUGUUUGAAGCGAUGCCCGAGAAGAAUGUUGUGGCGUGCACUGCGAUGAUCACUUCAUACUGCAAACAGGGGGAUGUGGAGAGCGCUAGGAGGCUGUUUGAUGGGAUUCGUGCCAAGGAUGUCAUCUCCUGGAAUACCAUGAUUGCUGGAUAUGUUCACAAUGGACACGGUGAAGAAGCCAUGAGAUUGCAUGCUGUAAUGUUCAGAGAAGGUGUAAAACCAGAUCAUGCGACUCUUAUUGCAGUCCUGACAGCUUGUUCUGCUCUUGCUUUGCUCAGACAAGGAAAAUCCACACAUGCUAUUGCCAUCAAAGCAAUGCUAGAAUCGGGCAUCUCUUUUUCUAAUGCAUUGAUGACAAUGUACAGUAAAUGCGGCAAUGUGGGUGAGUCAGAGUUAGUCUUCAUCAAUCUUAGAACCAAGGAUAUUGUUUCUUGGAACACAAUAAUUGCUGCAUAUGCACAACAUGGAAAAUAUCAGAAAGUUAUAGCACUGUUCCAUGAGAUGGAAAUGACUGGACUUAUUCCCGAUGAUAUCACCUUCCUUAGUGUAUUAUCGGCAUGCGGGCAUGUUGGCAAGGUGGAUGCCAGCUUGAAAUUGUUUGAUCUGAUGUCAUCUAAAUACGCCAUAUCCCCAAGAGCUGAACACUACGCUUGUAUUGUGGAUAUAUUGAGCCGAGCAGGACAAUUGGAGAAAGCUUCUAGUUAUAUAAAAGAUAUGCCAUUAGAAGCUGAGAAAAAUGUAUGGGGUUCUUUGCUUGGAGCAUGUCAGAUGCAUGGUAACGUGCAGCUCGGUGAACUUGCUGCUAAGAUGCUUGUUCAGUCAGACUCUGAAAGUUCAGGUCCUUAUGUGAUUCUUUCGAAUAUAUAUGCUGCUGCUGGCAUGUGGGGUCAAGUCAAUCAAGUAAGAGGUCAGAUGAAAGAAAGAGGUGUAAAGAAACAACCUGGAUACAGUUGGACUGAGAUUGCAAAUGAAGUUCAUAUGUUUGUGGGUGGAGAUGCAUCUCAUCCAGAGAUGAGAAAGAUCAUAUCUGAGCUGAGAAAAAUCAGCUUUCAUAUGCGAAUGGUCACCAAUGAAGCUCAUAUAAUGGUAGAGCUGGCACAAGAAUGUGGUCACUUUUCAUAAUCAUAAGCGCUCAUGCCUUUUGAAACAUCCACUCUACACAGUAUCCUAUGAGUUCAAAGAUCAUUUUUUUUGGAGUACAGGCGUGUUUGGAUUCUUUACAUGUUACUGGGUCGCCUAGGUGGGCAAGGGGUUCAUGUGGAAUCAGAGUUUGGUUCCCUGGUUAGCAUUGCCUUGGUGGUGCCUGUGCUUUCCAGAUUUUCCUUGCUAACAAGAAUGAGCCAAUGCUGCUCGCCUUCGUGGGCAAGGUUAUGCUUGCCUGGCAAAGCUAGCUGUACAACUAAACUUGCCCUCAACUCGGCAAAAUGGAAUUCCAACAAUCCAGCAUGUCCUCUAAUCAGACAAGUUUAGUGGUUAUUGUAAUGAUGACACUGGAUUCUUUGCGAUAGAAGAAAAGGACUCAAGUUUUGAAAACUUGAUGGUUGGAGCUGCAAAUUAGAAUGAACAAUUCUUAAAGGUUUCACAGCAACAUCGAGGAAAACUGCAUAUUACCUAAAGGAAAGUGAAUCCGGUUCUUCAGACAGUGUCAUACUGGCCCUCCAUGGACCUCUGUAGUUUUCCUUGAACUUCAAUGAAAUACUUUUUGCGGUUUUACUUAGGCCUAUUGAGAUGGUGGGGGAUUCCAGUGCUCCAUAGAUCACAGACACACAUAAUUAACUUGUAAAUAUGCUCUCUGGAGAACCUUGACACAAGUUCUUUCAAUCUCCUCAUUAACUGUAUUAAUCAACGUAUUUCCCA